rnacentral:lncRNA from 1 species
CCUACAGUUCUACUUUUGUCUUGUUUCAAAGGCCUUAAAAGAACUGCUCAAUUACUUAUCCGAAGCACCUGGGUUACCUUACAAUUUGCGUGCUGUUGUUUUAAAAAUAUUUUGUUUAUUAUUGUAUUAAUUUGUGUGUUUUGUAUUUUUCAUAGUUGCAUUUAGUGUGCCAAAAAAUAUGAAAACUUGACGUUCGUGACGUCACA